GUGCUCACUUAAGUAGCACAUAUACGAAAAUUGGAAUGAUAGAGCAAAAAUCAUUAACAUGGUGCCUGUGUGAGGAUGAUUUGCAAAUUUGUGAAGUGUUCCAUAUUUUU
rnacentral:snRNA from 2 species